rnacentral:rRNA from 1 species
UACGAAGGGGGCUAGCGUUGUUCGGAUUUACUGGGCGUAAAGCGCACGUAGGCGGAUCGUUAAGUCGGGGGUGAAAUCCUGGAGCUCAACUCCAGAACUGCCUUCGAUACUGGCGAUCUUGAGUCCGGAAGAGGUGAGUGGAACUCCUAGUGUAGAGGUGGAAUUCGUAGAUAUUAGGAAGAACACCAGUGGCGAAAGGCGGCUCAGCUGGUCCGGUAACUGACGCUGAGGUGCGAAAGCGUGGGGAGCAAACAGG